AUGCUAUAUGAAAAUCAUGCAAUUAUACAAUUAACUAGUAGAUCAAUUGAUCCUACUUUCAAACCUGCUAUCUUUAGCUCAUAUCAUCUAACUCUAAGGUUUCUAUUACCUUAGGUUCACAACUCAAGUCCAUUUACUUUUAAGGUCUCUACUACCUUAUCCAAGCUAUCCACUCGACUCGGCCUCGAAUCAAUCAUCCGCGGACUACCGCGCACUAGCUGCAUCUCUUACACAGCCUGGCUGCCGUAACAGCCCGCCGCACCACUUGACUUAACCAUCUGGCGUCGAC
rnacentral:lncRNA from 1 species